UGGGGAAUUUUGCACAAUGGGCGCAAGCCUGAUGCAGCAACGCCGCGUGUGUGAUGAAGGUCUUCGGAUUGUAAAGCACUUUCGACCGGGACGAAACCCGGAUGGUUAAUACCCAUCCGCUUGACGGUACCGGGAGAAGAAGCACCGGCUAACUCUGUGCCAGCAGCCGCGGUAAUACAGAGGGUGCAAGCGUUGUUCGGAAUUAUUGGGCGUAAAGCGCGUGUAGGCGGCGAGGCAAGUCGGGUGUGAAAGCCCUCAGCUCAACUGAGGAAGUGCGCCCGAAACUGCUUUGCUUGAGUGUCGGAGAGGGUCGCGGAAUUCCCCAAGUAGAGGUGAAAUUCGUAGAUAUGGGGAGGAACACCGGUGGCGAAGGCGGCGACCUGGACGACAACUGACGCUGAGACGCGAAAGCGUGGGGAGCAAA
rnacentral:rRNA from 1 species